rnacentral:rRNA from 1 species
AGGACGAACGCUGGCGGCGUGCUUAACACAUGCAAGUCGAACGGUGAAGCCCUUCGGGGUGGAUCAGUGGCGAACGGGUGAGUAACACGUGAGCAAUCUGCCCUUGACUCUGGGAUAACUUCGGGAAACCGGAGCUAAUACCGGAUAUGACACAUAGCCGCAUGGUUUGUGUGUGGAAAGAUUUAUCGGUCAAGGAUGAGCUCGCGGCCUAUCAGCUUGUUGGUGGGUAAUGGCCCACCAAGGCGACGACGGGUAGCCGGCCUGAGAGGGCGACCGGCCACACUGGGACUGAGACACGGCCCAGACUCCUACGGGAGGCAGCAGUGGGGAAUAUUGCGCAAUGGGCGAAAGCCUGACGCAGCGACGCCGCGUGAGGGAUGAAGGCCUUCGGGUCGUAAACCUCUUUCAGCAGGGAAGAAGCGAAAGUGACGGUACCUGCAGAAGAAGCACCGGCUAACGUACGUGCCAGCAGCCGCGGU